rnacentral:rRNA from 1 species
CCGUAACAAGGCAUUCCCCUAGUAACGGCGAGUGAAGCGGGAAGAGCUCAAAUUUGUAAUCUGGCACUUUCAGUGUCCGAGUUGUAAUCUCGAGAAGUGUUUUCCGCGCCGGACCGCAUACAAGUCUGUUGGAAUACAGCGUCAUAGUGGUGAGAACCCCGUAACUGAUGCGGAUGCCCGGUGCUUUGUGAUACACUUUCGAAGAGUCGAGUUGUUUGGGAAUGCAGCUCAAAUUGGGUGGUAAAUUCCAUCUAAAGCUAAAUAUUGGCGAGAGACCGAUAGCGAACAAGUACCGUGAGGGAAAGAUGAAAAGCACUUUGGAAAGAGAGUUAACAGUACGUGAAAUUGUUGGAAGGGAAACGAUUGAAGUCAGACUUGUUAUGCUGGAGUUCAUCCUUUCGCGUGUGCUCUCCAGUUUACAGGCCAGCAUCAUUUUUCGGGGCGGGAAAAUCGUAAUUAGAAGGUAGCAGCCUAGCUGUGUUAUAGCUUUUUACUGGAUUCCUCUUUGGGGACUGAGGAACGCAGUGUGCUUUUAUCAAUACCACUCGGUGUUUUCACAUUAGAUGCUGUGAAU